rnacentral:rRNA from 1 species
UACGGGGGGGGCAAGCGUUGUUCGGAAUUACUGGGCGUAAAGGGCUCGUAGGCGGCCAACUAAGUCAUAAGUGAAAUCCCUCGGCUUAACCGGGGAACUGCGUCUGAUACUGGAUGGCUUGAGUUCGGGAGAGGGAUGCGGAAUUCCAGGUGUAGCGGUGAAAUGCGUAGAUAUCUGGAGGAACACCGGUGGCGAAGGCGGCAUCCUGGACCGAUACUGACGCUGAGGAGCGAAAGCCAGGGGAGCAAACGGG